AUAGAGUAAGAUUUUUUUAUCCUUUUAUCUUUCUUCUUAUUUUGACAACACUUUAUGUAUUAUUCAAGCAUUUAAGGCUAUGGAUCUAAGAUUUGAUCUUUGACUCAUUAUUUUUUAUUUUAAGACUUGAAUCUAAAGGUUUCUACUAAUAAGUUUCAGAUUUGACAUCAUAUAAAGGUUACUUUUCUUUAUUUAUCUCUGCUUUUAAUUUAAGUAGCGUGAUUGAAGUUUUGAACCUUUUUUCAUGAUUAUUCAAUUCAAGGCUGCAAGGUAGAUAUUUAUUUAAACAAAUAUAAGGAAUAUCAUCAUAAAAUGUUAGUGUUCUUUGUAUCUAGCUCUUUUUUAUGAAUUAGGCAUCAAUCUUUUUUUAAUGUUAUUUCUCUUUAUUAAACUAUGCAUUUGAGAACAUUGUUCAAAGAUGUUUCAUAUUUUAUGUGUGUCAGAUGAUUUAUGCUUUAACAAUCAAUCAUCUAACAAAAUCAAAUUUCAUUCUUAAAUUAUGUUUUUAUCAGUAACCCAAUUCAAACCGAUGACAUUUUC
rnacentral:lncRNA from 1 species